rnacentral:sRNA from 1 species
GAUACCAGGGUCAAAAGGUCAUGCGUUUCAUGCUUGCAUGAAAAAGCAUGACAUUGGGACCCGCCAAAACAUGAGAAAGGAGCCCGAACAGGGCGGAUUUCGAAUGUUUUGAGGAUUUCGGGAGCACGGAGUGCGGAGAAAUCCGGGGUAUC